CUUGGUGGUUCUAGCGACGGGGGUACACCUGAUCCCAUUCCGAACUCAGAAGUUAAGCUCGUCAGCGCCGAUGGUACUUGGACCCUUGGUCCUGGGAGAGUAGGUCGCCGCCAAGA
rnacentral:rRNA from 1 species